GAGGCAAUGAGGACACCCUGGCAGGGCAGCUGAGCUGGGUGGAUCCUUGUUCUGUCACCAAGCCUUUAAGUCAUAUGCUGACAUGUUACGGUCCUGCCUGGGACCCUGCCCACAAAUACUUAAGAUACACGACUUUGGGAAUCACCCAACUGAUGGAAAGAACCAGGAAAGGAGUCAGGAUCUGCACAUUGGCAAACUUUGAAGAACACCCAAUUUGACGAAUGAAAACUCCUCACUUGUGCUCUGGUGGUGUUUUAGGACAAAGGGCCCCUCCUGGACGCUCUAGUGAAGCCCCAUAUCACCUUUUUCCUUCCUGUUUGCCAUAGCUCCAGGUGUAGGGACAGAUCAGAAGAUUCUGGAAAAGGCAGAUCACCAAAGAACUCAAGACGUACUGAUAUUUUGCCAAUUUCCUUCAUCAACAAC
rnacentral:lncRNA from 1 species